rnacentral:antisense_RNA from 1 species
CUACACGUCCCCCACCCUAACCCUUAGCAUCCAGGGAUCCCAGGCAUCCUCCCGGCUCCCUAGAGCCCUCCCCUGUUCUCAGCCCCGUUAGACCCUCCCCUUAGAGCAGAACGCGUCUGCGCUCUAAGUCCCUCCGCAGCCCCUCCACCGUCGUCUCCGCCCCCAAAGGUACCUCCCCACCUCCACUUUAGUCUCACCCCUAAGUACCCCGAAGAAAGCCAAUAUUUCCUUCUCUCCGCAGCGUCCCAGAUAUUAACCGUUCUAUCUCAAUGGUUUUCAGAUUUCAUCUUGCCUCUUGGGUACCCUUUGGGACCCUUAUGUCAUCCCCACCAUCAGGGCACCCAGACUCACUCUGGUCCUUAUUGAUGAGCCAGGUGUCCUUGGAGUCAAGUGGCUCACUGUCACCGAUUUCAUUCCGAGCCACCACUCUGAAGUAGUACUUCCUGCCUGGGAGCAGCCCCGUCACUGUGUACUUGUUGCUGAAGACACGCUCGGCUGCCGUGUACCAGGUGGCGGUGCUUGCAUCCCGCUUCAUGAUGACGUAGUGAGCCUCACCGUCCUCCUGCACAUCUGGGCUGUGGUUCCAGCCAUCUGCCAAGUCCGAUGGAAGAUAAGAUGGGGCAAGUCUCAGGCAGUUGGUGUCUUGGAGUCGGAAAACUAUUUCUGAAGUCUGCUCUGUCAUUUACUAGCCUUGUGACCUGGGAUGAGGAAACUGAAGCUCAGAGGGAAAGCAGCUUGCCCAAGAUGGUGGGAGAGCUGAUAAUAAAGUGAUACUAAUCUACUGCAGAUGCUGACUUCCAGGCACCACGCUCCACCACCUGGGCAGGUGGAUGAUUGACAUGGGUCUG